AACAGCCUCAAGUUGCUCCAGGGGAGGUUUAGAUUGGAAAUUAGAAGCUUUUUUUAUCACAGAAAGAUUGUAACACAUUGGAAUGGGGUGUCCAGGGCAGUGGUGGAGUCACCAUCCCUGGUGGUGCUCAGAAGCAGUGUGGAUGUGGCACUUGGGGACAUGGGUCAGUGAUGAGCUCAGUGGCAGUGCUGGGCUGAUGGUUGGACUUGAUCAUCUUAAAGGUUUUUCCAGCCUUAAGGACUCUGUGAUUCUGAUCCUCCCUGUGUUUGAAACUUCUUUCUCUCAAAGCUUCCCUGGAGUCCUCACCUCUUUGCUGAGCCCUGCUGCCUCCUCCCCAGCUGGUUCCUCACAUGAGACACCUCUGCUCAGCUCUGUGAAGGGCAGGAAUCUGUGCUCUGCCUGUCUGGGAAGCUGUUUAACAAAUUGUGGUCAGGAAGAAAUAACAAGAGCAGCGGGAGAUGUGCUAAUGCUGGAUGUGCCUUGCUCAGCCAAAUGGGAACAUUUGCCUCCACUGCUGCCUCAGAGCCCCUCAGAAUCAAUGUCCCCACUCCUUUCCCUUCUGAAGAGCUGGAAAUAUCUCUGUGUUUCCUCAUCAGGCAGGGCAGGGGCUCCAGGCAACCAAAAACCACCAUCAGCAGCAGCAGGAGCAGCAGCAAAGGCAGGAGCACCCCACGCGAGGUGUGGCUUUGGAGCCUCCAGUGCCUGAAACACCUGCUCUGUGCAACACCUUGUGCAAGUCAGCCCCCACAGGGGCAGGCACAAGCCUUGUCAGGCCCCACAGGGUUGGUCUCGGGGUCCAGGAGAGAUUCCCCAGCGAUCCCUCAGUACUGAGCAAUCUCCCAGGCAGCCCAUGAUCCCUGCUCCAGGCAGGAUGCCAUACCAGGCAGCCCAGGAGGCUUUGUCAAUCUGACCACCCCGGGCUUGUUUUGAAAUCCUGUCAGGUUUAGAGCAAAUGCCAUAAUUGCUGAUGGUGACAGCGAGAACAGGAGUAAUUAAAGGACAUUCUCCCAGUGCUGUCAUCUGUCACAUGUGCCUCCAGCACUGCGAGGUGUGAGCAGAGGCUUUGGCUUGUGUAACUCACUGGGAGCUGCUGAGGGCUGAGCAGGGACCUGCCCCACUCUCCCCUUCUUGUAGAUGAAAACAUCUAAAUCAGGAGGGAGAAGAAUCACCUUAUUCUUGUACAUUGCACAGCCAGGGCUUUCUCAGCCACAGGGCUGCCUGCAGUGCUGGAAGGUCUCGGAUUUAGCAGCCCCAGAGCAGGGAGAGGCUCCUCUCACCAAACCAAACCCCUGUAGCCAGCAGCCUGUCACCCUUGUUCCAUAAAAUCCUGGAAGAGUUUGAGUUGGAGGCACCUUAAAGCCCAUCUCAUUCCACUAGCCCAGGUUGUUCCUGGCCUUGAACCCUUCCAGGGUGGGACAUUUGCUGAAUUAUUAUUUCUGAAGAGAUGUGAAAAUGGAAGGGGAUGCAGAGAAAGUUCCUUUUUGCUCAGGUUGAGCCUGCAGCUCCCCAUCCCAGCUGGCAGGGCCCUGGCAGCAGCUCAGAGCAGGGAGCUGUGUUACCCCACACCCCAGUCCUGCCCGCGGUGGCGCAAAGUUUUGGCAGGAGACCCCAGUGGUUUGUGCAAGUCCUGGGAGAGAUUUGAUAGCAGAGUCUGCAGCCAGCCCUGGGAACCACAGAAUUCUUCAUGCAGAGCUGUCUCUGAGCUCUCAGGGAGACCCCUCUGUGCUCCCUGCUGGGCAGAGAACAGGAGCUGCUGCCUCUGCUGUGGGGAGGGGAAUUAGAGCCUUAGGAAGUUCCUAAGAAGGCAGACACAGGUUUGCCUCCUGCCCCAUCUUCUGGUGGUCAGUGAUUUAAUACUUAGCUGGAGGUCCUGGGCCAUCAUAUUUAACCACUUAGGACAGGCCAGUCUUGCCCAUGUUUAUCUGAGCCUUUUAAAAAUUAUUUUUGUGGUCACAUUCUACAGCAACAAGAUUAUUUUUAAUCAGGUGCUGGCUGGAAAAGCUCCUCCUCUUAGAAUCCCAGAAUGGCUUGGGUUGGAAAGGACCCUAAAAAGCAUCCAGAUCCACCCCUGCCAUGUGCAGGGACACCUCCCAUCAUCCCAGGCUGCUCCAAGUCCUGUCCAAUCUGGCCUUGGACACUUCCAGGGAUCCAGGGGCAGCCACAAGUCUGAUACCCUGGGCACCCUGUGCCAGGGCCUGCCCACCUUCACAGGGAAGGAUUAUUCCCCAAUAUCCCAUCCAGCCCUGCCCUCUGGCAGUGUAAAACCACUGCCCCCUUGCCUGUGUGCUGCCUGCAUUGGAGCUCUUCCCUUCUGGAAUGGGAAAUUCCAAGAAGCUGUUCCCUGUUCCCAGCCUCCAGCCGCCUCUGGUGCAUCCCCUGGGCCUCCCCAUCCCACCCUGCUCAUUCUCAGUCACAUCCCUGCACCUUGUGGAGUUUCCCUUCUCUGUUCAAAUAAGCUCAUCACAUCCCAGGUGCUUUCAAGCUCUGUCUUUCUACAUAAAUAAAGGAAGGUGGAUAUUUGGGACA
rnacentral:lncRNA from 1 species